GAAGAAGUGGAAUUCCCAUGGCUCUUGGACCCAUGGCUGGCAUUAUAUCUCCUAGUGAAGCAUCAACAUACCUCUUCCUGUUGCAAGGUACUGGAAGUGCUGAGGUGCCAGAAAGAGGAUGGAACUGCCACCAGAAGUUGGCAACAGCCAAACAUUGCUAUGACCUAAUGCUGGAAGGACAAAGGCAAAGAUGGAAUCACUAGAAUCUAAAAGCUUUCAUCACCCAGCAGAAGCUAAAGCCAUGGUGAACUACCACACCUUUAUUUGGCCAAACCUCCUGGACACUGGUAGAGCAAUGAAAAUUUGCUAUUGGGAA